rnacentral:rRNA from 1 species
UUCCUGUACUUGGUGUUACUGCGAAGGGGGGACGGAGAAGGCUAUGUUGGCCGGGCGACGGUUGUCCCGGUUUAAGCGUGUAGGCUGGUUUUCCAGGCAAAUCCGGAAAAUCAAGGCUGAGGCGUGAUGACGAGGCACUGCGGUGCUGAAGCAACAAAUGCCCUGCUUCCAGGAAAAGCCUCUAAGCAUCAGGUAACAUCAAAUCGUACCCCAAACCGACACAGGUGGUCAGGUAGAGAAUACCAAGGCGCUUGAGAGAACUCGGGUGAAGGAACUAGGCAAAAUGGUGCCGUAACUUCGGGAGAAGGCACGCUGAUAUGUAGGUGAAGUCCCUCGCGGAUGGAGCUGAAAUCAGUCGAAGAUACCAGCUGGCUGCAACUGUUUAUUAAAAACACAGCACUGUGCAAACACGAAAGUGGACGUAUACGGUGUGACGCCUGCCCGGUGCCGGAAGGUUAAUUGAUGGGGUUAGCGCAAGCGAAGCUCUUGAUCGAAGCCCCGGUAAACGGCGGCCGUAACUAUAACGGUCCUAAGGUAGCGAAAUUCCUUGUCGGGUAAGUUCCGACCUGCACGAAUGGCGUAAUGAUGGCCAGGCUGUCUCCACCCGAGACUCAGUGAAAUUGAACUCGCUGUGAAGAUGCAGUGUACCCGCGGCAAGACGGAAAGACCCCGUGAACCUUUACUAUAGCUUGACACUGAACAUUGAGCCUUGAUGUGUAGGAUAGGUGGGAGGCUUUGAAGUGUGGACGCCAGUCUGCAUGGAGCCGACCUUGAAAUACCACCCUUUAAUGUUUGAUGUUCUAACGUUGACCCGUAAUCCGGGUUGCGGACAGUGUCUGGUGGGUAGUUUGACUGGGGCGGUCUCCUCCUAAAGAGUAACGGAGGAGCACGAAGGUUGGCUAAUCCUGGUCGGACAUCAGGAGGUUAGUGCAAUGGCAUAAGCCAGCUUGACUGCGAGCGUGACGGCGCGAGCAGGUGCGAAAGCAGGUCAUAGUGAUCCGGUGGUUCUGAAUGGAAGGGCCAUCGCUCAACGGAUAAAAGGUACUCCGGGGAUAACAGGCUGAUACCGCCCAAGAGUUCAUAUCGACGGCGGUGUUUGGCACCUCGAUGUCGGCUCAUCACAUCCUGGGGCUGAAGUAGGUCCCAAGGGUAUGGCUGUUCGCCAUUUAAAGUGGUACGCGAGCUGGGUUUAGAACGUCGUGAGACAGUUCGGUCCCUAUCUGCCGUGGGCGCUGGAGAACUGAGGGGGGCUGCUCCUAGUACGAGAGGACCGGAGUGGACGCAUCACUGGUGUUCGGGUUGUCAUGCCAAUGGCACUGCCCGGUAGCUAAAUGCGGAAGAGAUAAGUGCUGAAAGCAUCUAAGCACGAAACUUGCC